GCGUAAGUAGUGCAACGGUUCAGCACGCGCUUUCGUAAACGGUUAAAUGUGGGUUCGAUUCCCAACUGACACA